rnacentral:rRNA from 1 species
GCCCUUACGACCAGGGCUACACACGUGCUACAAUGGUCGGUACAAAGGGUUGCUACCUAGCGAUAGGAUGCUAAUCUCAAAAAGCCGAUCGUAGUCCGGAUUGGAGUCUGCAACUCGACUCCAUGAAGUCGGAAUCGCUAGUAAUCGCGGAUCAGAAUGCCGCGGUGAAUACGUUCCCGGGCCUUGUACACACCGCCCGUCACACCAUGGGAAUUUGUUGCACCAGAAGUAGGUAGUCUAACCGCAAGGAGGACGCUUACCACGGUGUGGCCGAUGACUGGGGUGAAGUCGUAACAAGGUAGCCGUAGGGGAACCUGCGGCUGGAUCACCUCCUUAA